UUUCGGAAAUAUUACACGAUGAAUGUAU
rnacentral:sRNA from 1 species